rnacentral:lncRNA from 1 species
UUCGUCUUGGGUGGAUCUCAAAAGGCGGAUAAAGAUCGUGAAGUGUCCAGCCUUCUCAAGGAUUUUGGUGACGUUGGUGAUGCCAUGUGGUGCAGCUGCCUGUGUUGGGGUUGCAGCUGGAGGUGAUGCAACCACUGCUGGUGCCUGAGCCGGGGCUGCAGCUGGUGACUGGGCAAAGGUAUUGGGACAAUGGAGGAAAAGAAGAAAAAUUGAAAAUGAAGAGAGUAAGUACUGUGGCUUCAUCUUUAUGUUGUUAAGAUAUAAUGCUAGAAACAAUGCAAAAAUGCUAAUGUAAACUGAGCUUGAUUUUUGUUAGAAGUGCUCGAUGUGCAUAGAGGGGACAGUUUGAGGUUAUAUAGUUGUGAGCAGAGGAUCAAGUUAGGUGCAAUAUUAUACAAUUUUAGUUACACAACUAGGUUGCAAGUACCUUAUCUUACUCCAAAAGGUGGAGGGUCAUCAAUGGAGAUGGAAAUUUGACAAUGCUGCAGCAGCUACUUUGCAUGGAAAGUAGGAGGAAAACGAAACAAGAAUCUCAGAAGUAGAUUUCAAGUGGCAGAACAUUUGAGCAUACUUCUUAACAUUAUAACAAAAUCAUGUCUCAACUGCCUUCAUCAUGUAUAUAUACAAGCUUUUAUUCUUCUACCGACUCUAACCACUUAACUCUACUGCUUUUCUAACUAAUUAACUAUUAACAGUAAAGACCAAUCGUUAUUCUUUCAGUGCUGUUAUUGCUUCUUGUUGUUCUUCUUCCAGCCUUCAUCAUGUCUCCUAGUUCGUAACAUUGAGUAACAUAUAACUUUUUUUUUCAGUUUUAUUUAAAAUAUUUUUUAUACUCUUAAUAUAUUUUUUAUAUUUUAAAAAAAUAAUAUUGAACCGCUGGCCAAUAUAAUAGUUGGUUAGCAAAUCACGAGGCAUCUCGCGGCAAGAAGAUGUCACGAGCAUUGGAUUUUGUUUUCAAGCCACUAAAACCCUUCAUUGUGGAUCCGUUUUCUUGCAAUAAGAAUUAUGGACUAGUGUUUAUGGGCUUUUAAGGCCUAAUAGGCCGGCUGGGUUAGUGCUUAUGGGUCUCAAUGCAUUCUGGUCCGGGCUUAAAUCAUCCUUGGGUAAAUGUUAAUAAAUUGGGCUAUGAUUCUUUAUAACGUGGGCUAAUUUGUUUUGGGUUGUACUCUUGGGUUAAAUGGGUUUUGAUUAAGUGUAAACAUGUAAAACAAAUGAUGAAAAAAACAAUAUAAAAAAUAACAUCAAAUUUAUGUGAGUAUAUAUUGUGCAUUAUGGCCAAGUCUUUCAAAAUAAAAUAUUUUUUUUCAUGUUUCAUAACUGUAAAUAAAAUAUUGUGUUAUUUUUUUUAAAUAAAAGGCAUUUGUUUACAUAAAAAAAGAAGAGGAAAAAAAUAUAUAUAUUUUAGCAUUCUAAAAAAAAUACGUGUUUUAGCACAAAAAAAGGGAGUUUUUAUUUUGCAUUGGCAUCUAAAUAAAAUGUUCUUGUGUUAUUUUUUAUUUAUUUUAUUAAAAAAAUAUAUAUUACAUGUUUGGAUUUCAUAACAAGUUUAUUAAGUCUAUUAAGAAUUGAUCAAAAUCAAAAGAUACAUUGGAUCUACAUAUCCAAUAAACUAAAUAAAAAACAACUCUGGUUUUCUAAAAAAAUAAUAAUAUGUUAUUUACCUUUAAUGCAAAAGGAAACCUAGAAAUAAAAUUUGAGAACCCUAGGCGUUAACUUGGAAACUAAAAAUUCUAACUUUAAUUUAGAUUUUUCCGAUAAGUCUCUUUAUUUAGGAUAAAUAGUUUUUUCUUCUUCUUCUUCUUUUUUUUUUUUUUUUGUGAACGACAAACCUCCUUCUUUAAAGGAUUGAUAAGAGAUUUUUACAAAUGAUCAAAUUGAUGCAUCUUUUAUUUUUGAGGACCAACAUCAAAUUUUCCUCAAAUAAUUAGAAAUAAAUUGGAAAUAAACUAAAAAAAAAUAGAACAAUCAAAAAGAUAAAAUUAAAAGAAAACACAAAGUAAAGAUAACCUUUCAUAGAAAAAAAAAAUCAAUGUGACAUCAUUCUUUCUUUAAAUAUAAAUAAUUUUUUAAUUGAAUUUUUAGAACUAAUAGAUCUCGUAACCAUGUAAAAAUCCAUGGUUGAUCAUAAAAUCGAUGUAGAUUAGUAAAAAGAAUUAGUUUAUGGCACAUUAUUUUGUUGUUUUUCUGUUUUUUAAUUUGUUUUUUUACUUGAAAAAAUAUUAAAAUAAGUUUUUUUUUACAUCAAUAUAUCAAAACAAUUUAAAAAUAUUAAAAAAAUAUUAAUUUAAUGUAGAAAAAGAAAAAAAACUCAUUUUUUAAAAAAUAUUUUUAAAACGGAAAAAAUAUAUAGUUUUUGGUAUCUUUGUAACCCUUUGUUUAAAAAUAAUAAUAAUAAAAAAAGAGGGGUUCCAGCCAAGCUAAAUUUGCAUCCCUUCUGUCUAAUCUUUGUUUUAAAGACUAGACACGCGAGUAGGAAAACACGCGAGUAGGAAACUCGGUUUAUGUGACUUGAAAACAUUAAAAGCAUAAUAUAAAUUGAAAAUUUUGAAUUGAGAUAGUUCACAAAUAUAAUUUCACAAUAUAGUAGUGAUAUUGUACAAGUCUCAAUAAUUUCAAAAAAUUUUAAUUUGAAAUAAUAUAUUAGAUACUAAUAUAAAAUUAUCUAUUCAGCUUCACCAAUUAUUGCUCCUUUAAUUUCACUAUAUCAUGAGUUAAUCUAAAAACUUUAAAGGCUUCAUUAAAAUCAUAUUGUUUUUGCACAGGACGUGUCUAGUACGUACUGCUGAUAUGUCUAUUCAACAUUAUUAAGAUUGAAAUAUUGUGAUCUCUGUUGAAAGCUAAAUGGUUCAAUGGAGCUUAACUUGCUAUUCGUUUUCGUUCUCCACGUGAAGAACAAAUCUAAACUUGUUCUCGUGUAUGGUACGUUUGAAUUGUCUAUGGCAGCAAGCUCCUCCAAUAUUAUUAUUCAUCCAAAUUAAUAUUUGAGGUCUUCCUUUAUGCGUGUGUGGUAGGAGUGAAUUGUCGAGUGCAUUUAAUUCCUUUUAUGUCUUCUUGCACUGAAUUGUCAAGUGCAGCUUAUCUUAAUUUGUCCUCCAUCACGCACUCUAACAUCGAAGCUGGGCUCCAGCCUUUUUGGCUGUGAAAAAUCAGUAACAUAUAUAUUUUACUUCUUUUACAUUACAUUUGAUUUCAGAUCCCAAGAAUGUGAAAUUAUAAUAUUUCACAUCAAAAAUGAAUGUUCAGAGCCAAAACUUUAUGGGUAUAUCAGUCGCUGACCUGUUGUAUGUUUUUUUAGAGCGUUAGGCUCUGAAGUGGGCUCGCGUAACUAGGAACAAAAUCAUGAGGGUAGUAAGGCCCAAAACGAACAAUAUACUGCAGGUUGGGUCGGACUAUUACAAUUAUCAACCUUUAAUUAGCCACUAUAAAUCAAGAAUUAAAUCUAGAAAAAUCAAGGGUUUUUUAGAUUAAUUUUUCAUUCAACAAUAAUUUGUUUAAUUAAUAUAAAUUUCCAUUAGAUUCUUUGAUAUUAUAUCAUAAACGUGAUGACUAAACAAUUACGAGUUUGAAUUUUAUUUAUUUUUAAUUAAUAAAAAUAAAUAUAAAAUAGUAUGAGUUUGUGUAAAUUUUACCUAAAACAUUUUUAUUUAAAGAAAUAUAUUAAAAAAUAAUAUAAAUUUUUUUUUGAAAAGAGAUUAAAAAAAAUUCCAAAUCAUGAAUAAUUUAUUCUGCCUUUCCAAAUCAUAUGAUACGACAAUAUUGUGGGCUCUCCCUGCUAGUGUGCUGGCCCUGUAGAUACUGACAAUGUUGACUUUCUGUUGUACACUUAUUAUGUAUUCCGUGGAAUUCUUGAACAAGAAUACGAUGAGAAAUCAUACUAUUACAGCUUUUCUACGAGGUUGACGAGAAAGUUACCAAAUUUUCCACUGAAUAGAUAAUGGAGGGCCCACGUUGUCAAAUUCAAGCAAUUGAGAAGACUAUCGAUCACCCUUAACGACAAGGGAAGAUAAUGGAGGGCCAAAGUUGGAUAAUAAUAUAAAAUUAUCUAUUGAGUUUCUCCUGACCAUUUAAAAUUUUAAUUAUAUACCAAAUUUUAGCUGCAACUAUUUAAAGAUUAAAAUCAUUAUUUUCAUUUUAUGCUUAUUCACCUCUAAAUAGGAAGAAAAUUUUGUUUUAUACUUUUAUUUUAUUUUUAUUUUUAUCACUUUUUUAAUACAAAAGGAUAUUUGAACUCAAGACUUUCUUUUGUAAGAAAAGAAAUUGAGAACCUAAUGGCAAUUGAACUCAAUACCAGAAAAGUGAUAAAUACAAAUAAAAAUACCGAUAAAAUUUUUCCAUCAAUAUAUUGCGAUGUCUUUACCAACAAAAUUUUACAUCUCUAUAACUAUCGGUAAACAACGACAAAAAUAUUUCCUCAGUAUAUACUGAAAAAAUUGCAAUGGAAAAAUAAGAAAUGAAGAAAAAAACAAAACAGUAAAAUGACAUGUAACUUUUACAAAUGACAUUACCGACAGAAUUAACUCGAUGGUAAAGCAUGUCCAUAAAUAUGCUGAAGAAAAAACUUCCUCGAUAUAUGCCAAGGGAAUUAUGGAGGGUAUUACAGUGGGAUUCAAAAAAGACAAAUCAUAUGGUGACAUGAUAUUUGUACCGAUAAAAUUAUUCUAUUGGUCAUUUCAUCAAUAAUAUUUAAUUUAUGACUUGACAAUCGACCCAUCCCCCUUCCAUGUAUCCUUCUUUGUUAUCCAUUUUUUUCGGCAUCAAACAGCCACCCCCUCCCCCCAAUAUCAACACAAUUCAAUCUCCCACAAUAAAUUCGACCACCACAACACUCAGUUUGUCAAUAUUCGUGUUCUAAUUCAAUUUUUUUAGGAUUCUCCACUUUAGUUAAGUAAAUCUAUCCUUUUUUUACUUGUUUUCUAGUUUUUUUUCUCAUACAAAUUUGUUGUAUGGAUUUAGGAUUUGUACAUGUUAGGAUUUGUUUUAGAUUUUAUAAAAUUAUAUUUGUUUGUAAAUUGAUGAAACUUAUGUCGAAUUGUUUUCUUAGGUGUUUUAUGAUGAAAUAAAUAAUAACUUAUUUAACGAGUUUAUUUUAUAUUUUGUCAAUUUUAAUGCUGAGUUGAAAUUUUCGUUAAAUGUGUAGAAAUUUGAAGCUAUAUAGAUAACUUAUAAUGAAUUAAGAGUACUAUUAAAAUAGAUUGAAAGUUUGAGCUAAACUAAUAUUUUUAUAAAUUUAUUUAGUUAACGUAAUUAAUUAAUUAAUACAUCUUGUCAUUAUUAUUUUAUAUAGGUUUGAUAUAAGUACCAGAUGAUCAUUCAUGGAUGUAUCGAGAUUCACCCCAAGGAUUGCGGAGGAUGGGUUAUUGUAAUAAGGUUCAAGGUUUUAUUAAUUAUGCACUAUCUAAUCCGAGAAAUAUUAGUGGAGGCGGUAUUAGAUGUCUAUGCAAGUGGUGUAAAAAAAAAAGUUUCUCGAUUCAACUAUUGUAAUGAUGCAUCUUCUACAAAAAUAGCUCAUGGAGAAAUACUUGUGUUGGUAUACAUAUAAAGAACUAUAUGUUCAUCAUGAUACCAUGGUAUAAAGGAUGGUUGGGUCAACUUCUAAUUCUAGCAAUAUGCAUGGAUUUGUAGAUGACAACAGUAAUCAUAAUAGGAAUAUGGUUAUAGAUAUGAUGAGAAUAAAUCAGGGUCAUGUUGGUCAAUAUCUAAUUCUAGAUGAAGAACCAUUGUAGAGUUAUAGUUAAGGAUGUGAUGAGAAUGUUAUACUACCUUGAAAAUACAGAGUUGACUGACUGCAGAACAUGUGGGCAUUCUUGUUAUAAACCCAGAACUGGUAGGGGAAGGAAUCUUGUCCCACAUAAAAAAUUUAGAUACUUUCCAAUCACAUCUAGACUACAGAGGUUAUUCAUGUCAUCAAAAACUGUUAAACAUAUGACAUGACACCAUUCAUAUGAUACGAUGGAUAAAGUGAUUGUGCACUCUUUCAAUGGUGAAGCCUGGAAACACUUUAACAAUAUGCAUCCUCAGUUGUUAGUGGAAUCAAGGAACAUGCAUCUUGGGUUAUGUAUAUUAGAUUCAAUCCAUUCAGGUUAUUUGCUGCUACCUAUUCUUGUUAGUCGGUUAUACUCACGAUUUACAACUUGUUAUUGGGGAUGUAUAUGAGGUUAUAGUUCAUGUUUUUAUUUAUGGUCAUACCUGGUCCUAAUAGUCUAGGUUGGAAUAUAGAUGUUUGAUUUUUACCGUUGAUUGAUGAGUUGAAACAGUUGUGGUCAUCCAGGGCUUGGACUUGUGAUGAAUCGAGGAAAUAGAAUUUUAUGAUGAAUGUAGCUUUUUAGUAGACUAUCAAUAAUUUUCUAGCUUAUGGAAUGGUUUAUGAUUGGAGCACGCAUGAAAAACUAGCAUGUCAAUAUUGUAUGAAAAAUAACAAGGCAUUCACGCUGACAAACGACGGUAAAACAUCUUUUUUUGACUGCCACCGACAGUUCUUACCAACAAAUCAUNNNNNNNNNNNNNNNNNNNNNNNNNNNNNNNNNNNNNNNNNNNNNNNNNNNNNNNNNNNNNNNNNNNNNNNNNNNNNNNNNNNNNNNNNNNNNNNNNNNNUGAAGAAUUAUAUGACGUGGUGUCAAAGUAUAGUGAUAUUGUGUUUGUUUUCAAUCUAAUAAGCAGAAGUUUUCUGGAUUUGGUUUGACUCAUAAUUGGGUAAAACGAAAUAUUUUUUAAGAGCUUCCUUAUUGGAAGAUCAAUCUCUUCCGUCAUAACCUUGAUGUCAUGCACAUAGAAAAUAACAUGUUUGAGAACAUUUUCAACAUGGUUAUUGAUAUAAAGGGGAAGAUAAAAGACAACAUCAAGGCUAGAAUGGAUAUAACUUUGUUUUAUGAAAGAAUGAAGUUAGUUUAUGUUGGGUCACAAGUCGCAAAGCAUAAAGCCAUCUUCGCUUUAGAUAAGAAUGCAUAGUUACUUGUCUACCAAUGGCUUAAAAGUCUAUGUUUUCCUGAUGGAUAUACUUUGAACAUAUCAAGGUUAGUGAAUUUGAAGGAUUACAAAUUGUAUGGAAUGAACAACCAUGACUACCAUGUGUUUAUGCAAACACUCAUUCCAUUAGCUUACCGAGAUUUAUUGCCAAAUAGAAUAUGGGAUGCACUCACGGAGAUCAAUUAUUUUUUUAGAGAUAUAUGCUCCAACAAGUUGCAAAUAUAACAUAUGGAAAGGCUUGAAACAAAUAUUGUUCAGACAAUAUACAAACUUAAGAUGAUAUUUCCUUUAUUGUUUUUCGACUCGAUAGAGCAUCUACCCAUACAUUUACCAUUUGAGGCAAAAGUUGGAGGCCAAGUCCAAUAUAGAUGGAUGUCUUCAUUCGAGAGGUUAGGGAUUAUACAUGCAUCAUAAUUAAAAUUUUAUUCUCUUUUCUUGCAUAAUUCAAAAAUUCAUUUAAUUCAAUAUAGGUGCUUGUUCCACCUUAAAAGAAGAGUUCAAAACAAGGCACAUGUUGAGGCUUCAUAUGCAAGGCCUAUAUUGUUGAAGAGAUCUCAAUAUUUUUCUUGUACUAUUUCGAGCCUCAAUUGAGAACAAGAAUCAACCGCGUUUCAAGGCAUAACGAUGGUGAGGAAAUGACUUCGAGUGAGAACUUGUCAAUAAUCUCUCAUCUUGGACGACCCGUUCCAAAAAAUGUUGUGAAGGAAGAUAUUUGUCAGAAAUUAAAUUCAUACAAACACAUAAUUAUGUGAUAUUUAACUGCGAUGAAUUGAAACUUUUUAUUCAGUAAGUAUACUACUUAACAUGUCAUUAUUUUCAAACAAUUUAUCUCUUAUAAUAUCAUAAACUGAUACAUUGUUGAAUUCUUUGUGGGCAACAUCGUCAAUUUUUACUAUUCCAUCAUAAUUAACUGAAUCCUAAAUCUUUCAAUUACUCAUUAACUAUUCAUAGUUGUACUUCAUGUACCAAGUUUAUCAAUUGGGAGAGAAUGCUAGUAUUAUUUUGUCUUUACUAAGUUCGGGUCCUGAAAGAAAGGUGAAGUGUUACAACGGGCAUUUCAUCAUUAGACAAGUAUUUUAUACUGAGGAAUAUGGGCAGAUUAGAAAGACAUAUAACAAUGAGUUUGAAAUUGACUACUAUAAAAAGUUAGAAGAGGCCAUUGAAUUGCAAUAUUAUAACAAGCAAAAUAAAAUAUUUUUAUUCAAGUGUUAUUAGUAUGACACCACUAACAGAGGAGUCAUAGUAGAUGCUCAUCAUGGUUUGGUUGAAAUUAAUUGAAAUGCUAGACUCCGCAAUGUUAACGAUGUUUUUGUUUUCGCCAAGCAAUGUCAACAAGUUUAUACACAUAUAUCCCUUUCCUUUAGAAAGAAUCGUUCAAGAGCUGAUUGGUUAUCUAUAGUGAAAAUCAAACCCAAUGGUCAUUUCGAGGUUGUUUAGGAUGACAGCGAUGAAUUAAUUGUGGGAGAUUAUGUCUUUCAACUUAGUGAGUUAGUUGAUUCAUAUUGAGUUGCUCCAUCUAAUGACUUGGAAGAAAACUCAAAUUUUCGCAUCACCGAUAAUAUUUUUGUUGAUGUUGACGUUGAUCUUGAGAAAUUCAAUGAUGUUUUGAGCUCCAGAUGACAUACACAAGUCAAUGAAGAUGAUGACGAUGAAAUCAAUGUAGAAGAUUGCGAUGGAGAUGAGGACAAGUCAAUUGACGAAGAAGAAGACAAUUUCGAUUAAUUUGCACAACACGAAUGUGUAGUGCCAUAAACUAUAAUGUAAUUUUCAUGGAUGAAAUUCACUUUAAUAUAAUGACAAUGAUGUUAAUUUAUUACUAAAUGACAAGGAAAUAUUUAUUUUAUUAUGGUGAUGUGAAAUGAUUUUAUUGUGUUGUGUGUGCAGUUGUGAAUUUAAGUACUUGCAGGAUGAAGAGAUAGGAAAUACAAAUACAAUUUGGCAUCAUAUAAUGUUUUACAUCGAUGGAAUGUACAUUACACACGGGUAUACCGAUGGAAUGUUUUUGUCAAAAAUUUUCCGAGAGCUAUGAGACUGUUCACUUCUCAAUGCAUUGAUAAUUAUUGUUCAUUACGCAUGGGUAUACCAACACAACGUGUAUACCGACAUAGUAUGUCUGUCGGUAUUUUCCCGAGAGCUAUGAGACUGUUCACUUCUCAAUGCUCUGAUAAUUAUUGUUCUUUUAAUUGUUCACUUUUGUUUCCCGAUGAAAUCACCGAUGAAAUGAAAAGUUGUCGAUAAUAUUUGGAGAGUUUUCUAAAGAUUUUCCUACAAGUUGAAAAUUUUCAUUUGACCAUACUAACAGAAUCACCGAUGAAAAUAUUAAAAAUAUUAAUAUAUAAUGUUACGUUUGUGAUUCCAAUGGUAAAAAGCAUCCAGAUACCAAGACCAUUAAAUUUCAAUUUAACUUUACAAACGACAUCACCGAUGAAAAUAUUAAAAAUAUUAAUAUUUAAUGUUUUGUCGGUAAUUCGUUGGUAACACUAAAUUAUAAGACAAGAAUCAGAACAAACAAAGCUUGAUCUUCUUCUCUCUUCUCUUCUCUCUCUCCUUCUGAGCCGAAAUCAAGCAUCAUCUUCUCUUCUUAUCCUUAGGUAUGUUGUCUUUUUUCAUUUUUCAUUUUUUUUUUGGGUUUAUUAACAAUCUCUUUUUUUGUUUUUAUUUUUUAAAAUUAUCAGUCGAAAUUAAGCACGUCAUUAAGGUAAUAUUUUUUCAUUCAUUUUCUUCUUUUUGUGUUUUUUUUUUUUUUUGCAUUAUUUUUGUUUUUUGUUAUUAUUUAUGUUAAAUUUUGUGUUCUUAAUAAUUUUAUGAAUUAAUAGUUAUGUUGAAUUUUGCAGAGUAAAAAUAUUUAAGAAAAAAAUGAUUAUUUUUACUUUAAAUUAUUUUUUACUUUAAAUUUCAACAGAGCAUCAUGCGUUUCCAAAACACACGAACAAAGGAAGGUUCAAUCCUGCUCAUCAUGUAAAUGGUUUUUUGUUAAAUGAACCAGAUGUCACAAAACGAUAUUAUUGAAGCUUCAAUCAUGGUUGAAUGGUAGCCUUCAUCGAUAGUAUUGGGAAUGAGGACAAAUAUAUAUCACAAUUACCUGUGAAUAUUAAUGGGUGGAGCAAUGAGCUGUCUCUAUGUUUUUCAUUUGUUGAUUCUACUUUCCGUCCAGAAAAAGUCACAGACAGGCACAUUGAAGGAGUACAUGGAUCUACAAGAUUCCACAAUGAAAGUUUCACCAACCAAUAGACUGUUAUCGUGUUCUUUGGGUUGGAAAUUCUUUGGGUGGGCCUUGUUGCUAGCUUCUUACGGUUGAUUAUUUUGCCUACGGAAGCUCUUGUUUCUUGAAUUUGAUAGCGAGUGUUUGAUAAGACUUCGGCAAAAUCUAUCAUCAAUUCUCAAAAAGAAAAAAAAAAAAAAAAAAACUUUUCUAUACCUUUUUCACAAUGAAUAUUUUUUUCUUUUAAUUUUAGUUAUUGUUCUUUUAAUUUUUUCAGCGAUAACUUAGAAUUUUAUUCCAUGGUAUUGAUUUUCAAUUUAAAGUCAGAAUAUUCUCAAACCCUUCAUAUAUGUGACAUCAUGCAAAGAAAAAUAAAUUCUAAUGUAUAAAACAGUGCCAACAUAAUUUGAAAGAAAUAAAGUUUGAUGAUGAAAUUCAUAUUACAAAAAUUUAUUGUUCCAGUUGAUAAUUGAAAAGAAGUAGCUAAACACUAGGAGAAGAGAUCUCCCAAACUUAUUGUGCAAAAUGCCUCAGGCAGUGGAGGCCACUUAGCUGUAAGAUCCAAAUAAAUUUUUUCCAUCGUAGGCCGAGAUUGGGGAUUGGGAUGCAAGCAUGCAAGUGCAAUUUUCAUCAUGUGGACAACGCCCUCUGCUGCUCCUUUUUUAGGAAGCGAGAUGCGUUGGUCUAACACAUCCUUCAAUAGUGCAUGUUGAGCAAUCGGUGGCAUCGAUGAUGACGACGAAGAUCCUGGUGAUAAGAGUGCUGAAAUGAGGUCGCCUGGGUGCCUUCCUGUCAUCACCUCCAUUGUUACCACUCCGAAGCUAUAGACAUCACAUUUUUCAGUCACUUUCAUUGUGUAAGCUAGCUCUGCCAAAUUAAAAAAAUUGAUUAUGGUUAGUUUUAAUCAAAUAGUUGAAAGAAAAGACUUUAUAAUAUAUAAAAGCUAAAAAAGCACUAUUAUUUUCACUAUAACACAUUAGUAACUUGAUGUUGAAAUAAAGCUACGCACCUGGAGCAGUAUAUCCAAAAGUACCUGCAAAUGAGGUCCAAUUGGAUGAGUCAGGCAUCAACAGUCUAGCUGUGCCAAAGUCGGAGACGUGUGCUUCAUAUUCCAAGUCCAGAAGGAUAUUAUUGCUGGUAAUGUCUCGAUGAAUGAUUGGAGGACAGCAAGAAUGGUGCAGGUAGGAUAAAGCUCCAACCACCCCUUUCACAAAAUUUAGCCUUUUCAUCCAAUCGAACUCAAUUGCUUGUUCCUCACUGGUUAUAAUCUUUCUCAAGCUUCCUCUUUCAAUGAACUCAUAAACCAAAAAAGAAUGCUUUGCAUGUGAGCAAAAUCCAUACAUUUUCACAAUAUUUCGAUGUCGAAUAUUUGCCAACACGCAAACUUCCUUUUCAAAAGCUUUAAAAUCGGACAACUUUUCUGUUUGUGACCGGUGAAGUUUCUUCACAGCAACCACCUCUUCUGUUGGCAUCACGGCUUUAUAAACAGUUCCAUAUCCUCCUUCGCCAACGCAGUAGUUGGAGUUGAAUUCCUCUGUAGCUUCAACGAUAUUCUCAUACAACUUCUUCCCAUCAUGGCCCAAUAUCGUGAAUAUGUUUCGAUCUUGCUCAUUUUCCGGCUCAGGUUUUCUCUUCCUAGCUCUUUUGCAGAGAAUGAAUAAAGCUCCAAUCACAACAAACACUAAAAGCAAGCUUCCUAAAAGAGGGAGUACAAUCAAAAUCACAAGUUUGUUGCUCUUUCUCUUAACAGUUGUGCUGCUUUUUGGAAGAUUGCACGGCUUUAGACCACUGGCGUUGCCACAUAUACCCAUAUUAUCCCUUAAUGCCUCAAAUGAAGCGUUGUGGAAGGCUUUGAUAUCGGGAAUGGGGCCUUGUAGCUUAUUGGAUGAUAUAUCCACAGUUGUUAAGCUUAACAUGUCUCUGAAAGUGCUCGGAAUCCGUCCAGAAAGCAUGUUGUGAGAGACAUUCAGAGUUUCCAACUUUUGCAGUUGCCCAAGUUGCCUCGGUAUCUCUCGAGUCAGGAAAUUGCAGCUAAGAUCAAGAUCUUGAAGAGAAAGUAGAAAGCCUAUCUCACCUGGAAUGCUUUCACUAAAUUUAUUACCGCUGAGGUUCAGCAACAAUAAAUUUGAGCAUUCCCCAAGUUGUUUUGGAAUCAAUCCAGUCAGAUUAUUAGAUGCUAAAUUAAGGGUUUGAAGAUUGGAAAGCAUCUUAAUAUCUAAGGGAAUGGCACCUGAAAGAUGGUUGUUGUUAAGAAUAAGCUUGUACAAUAACUUCAACCCCCCUAAAUCUUUUGGGAUGGUUCCUUUUAACUGAUUUGAUGACAGAUCAAUCAAGCGUAAUUGAGUAGCCUUCCCAAGCUCUGGUGGUAUCUCACCAGAAACAUUAUUGUUUGAGAUUCUAAGGCUUGUCAUGUUACGACAACCUCCCCAUUUGGAAGAAAGCCCACCAUAAAAAUUAUUGUAACUCAAAUCAAUAUAAUCCAGAUGUGGAUAGACACCAAAAACCUCUGAAACAUUUCCUGUUAAUUGAUUCGAUUCAAGUCUUACUCGGUGUAAACGAGUACAGUUUUUCAAACUUUUCGGGAUUGAACCUGAGAAGUUGUUGUAGCAAGCAGUAAAGUUUUCCAAUACUCCUCCAUGGCAUAACUCUAGUGGCAAAUGACCCGUGAGUUCAUUGAAACCAAUAUCCAAAGCAAUCAAUUGGGUGAGAUUUUUCAUCUCUACGGGCAAUGGGCCGUGAAGUUUGUUUAUACUUAGAUCAAGUGUAGUGAGAGUUGUCAAGUUUCCAAUUGAAUUAGGAAUUCUACCGGUUAAAACAUUAUUAAGCAAGGUAAGUUCACUGAGAGACUCUAGCAACCCAAUUUCUUGAGGAAUGGAACCAGAAAGUUUGUUAUCCCAAAGAUAGAGUAUGUAUAGGUUUCUCAAAUUUCCAAUAGAAGAGGGGAUCAAACCAGUGAGAUUAUUGUAUUCUAGUUGUACUUCAAUGAGCAUGGUCAUGUUUCCAAUAGAAAAAGGGAUGGGACCAGAGAGUUGGUUCUGGAAAAUGUAAAGGGAAGAUAAGUUUCUCAAGUUUCCAAUGGAAUAAGGGACUUUAAAGGGCAAAACAUUGCUUGACAAGGCGAUUUCAUUGAGAGAUUCUAGCAACCCAAUUUCUUGAGGAAUGGAACCAGAGAGUUUAUUAUCCCAAAGAUAAAGGAAGGAUAGGCUUGUCAAGUUUCCAAUAGAGGAUGGGAUCAAACCAGUGAGAUUAUUUUGUUGUACUGAUAUAUCAACAAGCAUGGUCAUGUUUCCAAUAGAAGAAGGGAUGCAACCAGAGAGUUGGUUCUGAAUAAGGUGAAGCAAAGAUAAGUUUCUCAAGUUUCCAAUGGAAUAAGGGAUUUCACCAGUUAUUAUAUUAUAUGACAAAUCAAGUUGAUUGAGAGACUUUAGCAAUCCAAUUUCUUGAGGAAUGGAACCAGAAAGUUUGUUAUCCCAAAGAUAAAGUUUGGAUAGGUUUGUUAAAUUUCCAACAGAGAAGGGGAUGAAACCAGUGAAAUUAUUUUCAGCUAAAGAAAUAGUGAAAAGAGACGUCAUCUUUCCAAUUUCAUGUGGGAUGGUUCCAGAAAGAGAAUUGUUCUGAAGGUCAAGAGCAAAAAGAUUACGGAAGGAUGAGAAGUUGAAAUCAUAAAGCGUACCUCUCAAGCCAAAGUCUGCAAGGCUCAAAUUGGUGACGCUUCCAGAAUUGUCACAAGUGAUUCCAAUCCAGUUAAUGCAUGGGCUAAUGCCGAACCAGGAAGAAAGGAGAGAUUGACUUUGGUUGUCAAGACUGGCUUUCCAUUCGAGAAGAGCCUCAGCUUCUGUAUUAUUACCAAACAGUGAAGUUGUGGAGGGAGUGUGUUCAGCUAAAGUAAAGUAAGAAGAAAAGUUGAAUAUGUGAAGGAGCAAAAACAGGAUGUGGAGAAAGAACGAGAAGAAUGGUUUGUUUAGUAAGGACGUCGUCAUGGUGUGUUUUCAAGAGAUAUCGGAUAUGGUUUGCUAUGGUAGAUUAGGCUCUUCCAUGGAGAGGUAUUUAUAGGAAGGAAAACAUGAUUUGAAUUUUUUUAUAUAAAAAAUAUUCAUUGAAUAUUACAUCUCUUCUCUAAUUAAGUUGAAAUUAACUAGACUAUGAUUGCUCUCGUGCUUGACACGGUUGACUAAUUUCUGAUAAAAUUCCAAUUGAACUUUCUUUCCCCUUUCCAUAUCAUAGUUUGGGACAUUAACUGGAAAGUCCUACGUUCACAUGCUCACUGCCUUGUGUACACUUUUGCUUUUUCUAUAAAUUCUCGUGCUUGACAAGUAGACAGAAAAAUGAAAUAGAUAAACUAUUUCCAACAGGAGAUGAGAUUGACAGAGAACGUUAAUCGCUAUGAAAGUACUGAGGGAUCAUAGAGAAUAUAGCUUCUUUAUGACCAAUUGACUAUGAAACUAAAUAAAGGGCAAUAAAAAGCAAAGAGUUUUAUGAAAUAAACUUUAAUCUCGAAAGUUUUUUUUAAUAAUUUGAUCACCACAAUAAAUUCAAUGGGAGAUAUUGUAAGUGACGUGGAACACACUUGUGGGUGUAUCGCUUUGUAAUUUCCAGUUCAUCAAUAAUUUCUUCUCCCUUGCCAUAUUUUCCACUGAAAAGACAACGGAAAAGCGUAUGUGAGAGACUCACCAAGUUUCCAUAAUGGAGGGCCAACUUUGACGAAGAGAUGAGAAGACUAUGGAUCAGUACCCGUAACAACCACGGGAACAAGUCAAACAAGUAUGGUCCUUCAAUGAGCCUGGUCAAGUUCCUAUCAAUCCCAUUUUUCUGAAGUUCUGUUGGAUCUGAGACAUACUUAGUUUGUUGUUAAGAGUAAUUCAAUCUGAUUUUUUUUUUUUUUGACAGCACUAAAAAGCAUUAAUUUAAUGUUUUUUCAUACCAAAUAUAUUUUUAAAACUCACCUAAACACACAGUUUUGACCACAAAAAUUAACGUACUCAAAAUGACUACCCAGAAUGCUACUAGGCUCCAGAGGGAGAGAAAUAGCAUUGACAAGGUACUAAAAGUCGCUACUAAACAAAAUUUGGGUGCGCCAGAAAAUAGUUAUAAAAGAUAGAGCAUGAUCAUGCCUCUACCCAGAAUGUAAGGUUACCAAGAAAACUGUCACAAAAUGGCUUAAACAGAACAUCUCUUUUCCUAUGAUCAACGCCUAAUAUUUCAGACAAGUGGAUUGAAUAACUUAAGAGCUUUAAAUAGGUUGAGAGUUUUUGGUAAACAAUUCUCAAUGGAUUAUUAUCUGAAAUUAUCUCUGACAUUAUCUCAUCCCUCAACUUCCUACGUUCCCUCUAUUAGAGAAGUCUCCCGAUUCCCUAUCAUGCAUUUUUGUAACAGCUUCAGUUUGUUUAAAUUUUGAAUUUGUAUUUUAAGCUGCACACUUAUCCUCAGGGAUAAGCUUCUAGUCUGUUACAAUCCCUUGUAUUUAUAUCAGUUAAUCUAAUGAGAAGAAGUGUGGCAUAUUUCCUCUUCUCUGUUUCUCUGCUCCUCUCAUUGCUUUUACCCUCAAGACUCUUGCAUUCUCCUUUCUUUGCUUUCUCUCUUUCUUCUAACCUUGCUUGCUUCUUUUCUUCAGCUUUCCUGCAUGUUUUCUCUCCUCUACUAUCAUGAUAUUUUGCCCCGUGCUCACCCCUCUUAGCUGACCUCCCCUUUGCUCUCCAUCAGAAGAACUAUCCUCAGAGGAACUAAUCCUAAAAACAUCCUCCAGAACCAGCUAUGCUCAAGAAACAGAUGCUAACAUCUUGCAAGCAAAAAUUACAACCCUGAACAACUAGAUUUCCCAGAAAUCCAGCCAACAUUUACUAACCAAAAGCUAGGAAAAUGAUUAGCUGAGAGUAAAAAAUUAAAUUUACUAAAUCAAGAUUAAUGGGCAGUGAUUAGUACCUAAUCAAGAAGAUUAAUGAAUAAUUAUCCAUAAUCAAAUGCUUUCACAUACAUAAAUUUGUUCCAAUUUGACCAAGAAAAUAAAUAAAAACUCAAAUUCAAUCUUAAUCACAAUGUCAAAAAUUAAAUAAUAAAAACUGGAUUAAAAAUAAAUUCAUAAUUAUUCAACAGACUCCAUGAAUCCAACCCAACUCAGAAAAACCAUAAAGAGGAGACACAGGACUCUCUACAUUACAAAGCAAACACUGCAGCAGCAACUAUACCAACUGACCCCGCCACAUUAUUAUGCAUAAACCAAACUGCACUGGAUAUAUCCACAGGAGCCACAGGACUCUCAACAUUAGCCGCAGGAACCGCCUUUGCAGGUUUUUCUGGUGCAGGUGCCACUGGUGCUGGAGCUGGAGCAUUAGAAGCAAAAAUGUCCUUAGGGAGGAGAACCUUUUCAAUCUUAUAAAUGGCAAGCUGGUUGUCUGUGUAUACGGUGCCAGAUAAACUUGUAUUGGUAAGUCCUGUGGUUAUGUUCACUGAGUUUGGAUAACUUGUCACAUUAAGUGGUAACCUACUGCCUGUUCCAGCCCAUGUGCCUAGAGGGUUACUUACAGUCUGAAACUGGGAAGUAGAGAGGAAUGUUGGAAUUACGUGGAACUUCACUAACUCGGACUUGUCUCCAUCACUUAGAGUGUUGAGAGUUCCUGAUUUGAGUUCCGAAAAUGCGCUAUCCGUUGGUGCAAAGAUGGUUAAACCAGUGCUUGAAUCAUUUAACGCGGAGAACAAGUGGUUUUCCUCUUGGGUGGAUCUCAAAAGGCGGAUAAAGAUCGUGAAGUGGCCAGCCUUCUCAAGGAUUUUGGUUACGUUGGUGAUGCCAUGUGGUGCAGCUGCCUGUGUUGGGGUUGCUGCUGGAGGUUGUGCCACAACCACUGCUGGUGCCUGCGCUGGGGCUGCAGCUGGUGACUGGGCAAAGGUAUAGGUGCAUUGGAGGAAAAGGAGGAAAAUAAAAAAUGAGAUUGACUGUUGCUUCAUGUUUAUGUUUUUGGGCUAUAUGCUAGAAGUGAUACAAAAAUGUUAAUGUAAAUUGAGCUUGAUCUUAGUUAGAAAAGUGUUUGAUGUGUAAAGAAGGGACAGAGUCAGGUUUUAUAGUUGUUGGCAGAGGAUCAAGCUAGGUGCAAUGUACAAUUUUAGUUAUACAAUUAGGUAGCUAGUAUCUUAUCUUUUUCCGAAAGGUGGAGGGUAUCAAUGGAGAGGCAAGUUCAACAAUGCUGCAACAACUAAUUUUCUUGGAAAUGCAGGGGGAAAAAUAGAUUAUAAAAAGUGGAUUUCAAGUGGGUGUGACAGCAAAUGAAGAUAUCUAUGAUUGUCAAAAUUAUAAUUAUGAAUCAUCACUGGCAGAACAUUUGAGCAUAGACUUCUGAACAUCAAAACAAAUCAUCUGUAAUGACAGAGGAGUUUGACAUGAAAUCUCAACUGAUUCAUCUUUAAUAGCUUUGAUCUAGCUCCUUGAGCUUAAAAGAGUCGCAUCCUUGAAUCCAAGACAGAUUUCGAUAGACUAACUUUCCAAAUUCACACGUCCAGAAAUCAAAUCUCACCCUUACCACCACUUGACAUGACAUGAUCAAGAUAUACUUACCUUAUUAUGUACUUGAUAUGAUGAUUGUGGCAAGCCUUCUUUCAAGGUUUAUGCAAUCUUCGAGUAAGCUGACUUUUUAGGGAAACAAAGAGAGUCCUAAGAUAUCGACGCAGACAUAAACAACAAAAGAAAGACAGCAAUUGCAUAGGAUCACCGCGCAAAUUUCAAAUUUUGUUACCUUCCUAAACUAGAAAACCUGAAAAUAAAAAAAAAUGCAAUAAAAAUAUUAAACAAACUAGAAAAUUUAAAAAUAAAAAUGAGAAAUUACAAAUCUAACCUGAAUAGCACGUUUUGGGUCUAGAUGUCUUCCAGACCUGCUGACCAUUACAUAUAUAGGCCUAUAUAGCAAAAUUUGAGCAUGAUUCAGCUGUGAAAUUGAAGGCUGUAAUUAUGGGUCUUUUUUGUUGAGAAGUUUCAAUAACUGUCAGUCUUUCUGUUAGCUAAACCUGUUAGAGCAGUUAGUUAGUUAAUCCAGCUGGCAGUUAGUUAAGUUAGGUAAAGGUUGUUAGUAUUCAAUUGUUAGCAAAUAAACUGAUUCCUUGAAUCACGGGGCAGCAGUUAUUAGUUACCCUGCAGUGUUGUAAAGGCUAUAUAAAGCCAAAUGAUUGUUCAUUCUAAGCAUGAUAUACAAUUCAGUAUUCAUCAAGUAUUCUUGCAUAUCUGUUUCUAUCAAAUUGGUAUCAGAGCAAAACAAAGGAUGAGAAAGAGAAAGCUGCAGGGAGCGAAAAGAAAGCUGCAGUUGGUUUUGUUCUUUCUUCUUAAACUUUACAAAACAAAGGAGAGCCAAACUGAGAGAUGGCGAAUGACAGCACCAACAAUUUUAUUCAACCAUCCAUACCGCGGUUUGAUGGUCAUUUCGAUCACUGGAGCAUGCUAAUGGAGAAUUUCUUGAGAUCCAAGGAAUUCUGGAUCUUGGUUGAAACUGGCUACACAGAGCCAGAGGAAGGAGCAAGUGUGAUUGAAACACAACGAAAGAAAUUAGAGGAGUUAAAACUCAAAGAUCUGAAAGUAAAGAACUACCUAUUUCAGGCCAUUGACAGAACUAUACUUGAAACUAUUCUGGAGAAGAACACCUCUAAACAAAUUUGGGACUCAAUGAAGAGGAAAUAUGAAGGAAAUGCAAGAGUGAAGCGUUCAAUCCUUCAAACACUAAGGAAGGAGUUUGAAACACUGGAGAUGAAAACAGGUGAGCAUAUCACUGACUACUUUGCAAAGGUUAUGACUGUAGCUAGCAAAAUGAGAACCUAUGGGGAGCAAAUGCGAGAUGUAACGAUUGUGGAAAAGAUUCUUCGAUCUUUGACUGACAGAUUCAAUUGCAUAGUAUGUUCAAUUGAAGAAUCUAAGGACAUUGAUGUUCUCUCAAUUGAUGAGUUACAAAGCUCAUUGAUUGUACAUGAACAAAAAUUUCAGAAACACAGCAUGGAAGAACAAGCUUUGAAGGUGACAUCUGAAGAAAGGUUAUAUGGCAGAGGACAAGGCAGACGACCUUUUAGAGGAGGAGGAAGAGGUAGAGGACGAUAUACCUUUGACAAAACCACUGUGGAAUAUUAUAGAUGUCACAAACUUGGCCAUUUUCAGUAUGAAUGUCCCACAGUGAACAAGGAGGCAAAUUAUGCAGAACUGAGCAAUGAAGAAGAAAUCCUAUUGAUGUCUCAUGUGGAAUUGUAUGACAACAAUCGAGAGGGUGCAUGGUUUUUGGACUCUGGCUGCUCAAACCAUAUGUGUGGAGACAAGAAUAUGUUCUGUGAGUUGAAUGAAGAAUUUAGACAACUGGUAAAGCUUGGAAAUAAUACACGAAUGACAGUCCUUGGGAAGGGAAAAGUCAAGUUGUUCUUGGAUGGUUUGCAGCACAUGGUCACUGAUGUAUUCUAUGUACCUGAACUGAAGAACAAUCUCCUAAGCAUAGGCCAGCUACAAGAAAAGGGUCUGGCAAUCCUUAUCAAAUCAGGAACAUGCAGAAUUUAUCAUCCUGUGAGAGGCCUGAUCAUCCAAACUAGAAUGACAAUCAACAGGAUGUUUGUGCUAAUAGCAAAAGGCUCAAGUCAAAGAUGUUUCUUGUUUCCAUACACAUGCACAAGAUUUGUCACAUUUAUGGCAUUGCAGAUAUGGCAUCUCAGCCCCAAAGGAUUUAGGAACCUUUGGCAUAUUAGAAGGAUGGGGAGAGGGACUACCACAGCUCCCUGCAUCAACGACAGAAUGCACGGGCCUGUAUUACUGGCAAGCAGCACAGAGAAUCAUUCCCAAAAAGGGAGUCAAUGGCGUGCAUCACAAAGAUUAUAGCUCAUCCAUGCAGACAUAUGUGCUCCAAUCACACCAACCUCAAACAGCAAGAAAAGGUAUUUCUUAUGCCUCAUUGAUGACUAUAGCAGGAAGACUUGGGUUUAUUUCCUAGCAGAAAAAUCAGAAGCUCUUCAGCAUUUCCAGUACUUUAAGAAGCUUGUUGAAAAAGAAACUGGACAAUACAUCAAGAGUAUAAGAACAGAUAGAGGUGGUGAAUUCAACUCACUGGAAUUCAAUGAGUUCCGUAAGCAGAAUGGCAUCAAAAGACAGCUGACUACAGCCUACACUCCUCAGCAGAAUGGAGUGGCUGAGAGGAAGAAUAGGACAGUGAUGAACUUGGUAAGAUCCAUGCUUUCAGAAAAGAAGAUUCCCAAAAGCUUCUGGGCUGAGGCAGUAAACUGGAGCAUAUAUGUCUUGAACAGAUGCCCUACUAAUGCUGUAAAAGACAUGACUCCAGAAGAAGUGUGGACUGGAAUGAAGCCCUCAGUUGAACACUUUAGAGUGUUUGGAUGUGUAGCUCAUGUGCAUAUACCAAAUGCAAGACGAACCAAACUGGAAAACAAGAGUGUGUGCUGUGUACUGUGUACUGUUGGGAGUAAGUGAAGAAUCAAAGGGCUACAGACUGUAUGACCCUGCAACAAAGAAAAUUGUAACUAGCAGGGACAUAAUAUUUGAAGAAGAGAAACACUGGGACUGGGAUAUCUAUUACAAAGAGGAGUUACAAAUGAACUUAGAAUGGGGAGAAGAAGGUGAAACUGAUGGAGAUGAAGCAAACAUCAGUGAAGAUGCAGAGGCAAUUGAGCAUAAUAUUGCAGACUCAGGUGCAGAGUCAAAUUAGGAUGGCAUUGAAGGAUCCAACAAUACUCCUGCCAACACAAUAUAUGAAGAAGGUGUCAAUCUGCACACAAGGAGGGAUACAAUUAUGCCUAGCUGGAUGAGAGACUAUGUCUCUGGUGAAGGACUGUCAGAAGAAGAAACAGAAUUGAAUAUGGAAAUUGUAACUUCUGAUGACCCCGUGAGCUAUGAAGAGGCAGUAAAAAGUUACAAGUGGAGGGAAGCCAUGGAUGCUGAAAUGGAGUCAAUUCAGAAGAAUGAGACAUGGAGUCUAACUGAAUUACCAGCUGGAACUAAGAAGAUUGGGGUGAAAUGGAUAUACAAAACCAAGCUAAAUGAGUCUGGCAAAGUGGAUAAGCUCAAAGCCAGGUUAGUUGCCAAAGGCUAUGCUCAACAACAUGGUGUGGAUUACACAGAGGUAUUUGCUUCGGUGGCAAGAAUGGACACUGUUAGGAUGAUCAUUGCACUAGCUGCUAAGAAAGGUUAGCUCAUCUAUCAAUUAGAUGUUAAGUCGGCUUUCCUGCAUAGGGAAUUAAGUGAGGAUUUAUUUGUAGAACAACCAAAAGGAUAUGAGCAGAAAGGAAAUGAGCAAAAGGUCUACAAAUUACACAAAGCUUUGUAUGGACUAAAACAAGCCCCUCGAGCUUGGUUUAGUCGCAUUGAAGCCUACUUCACUCAUGAAGGGUUUCAGAAGUGCAUCAGUGAACAAACUCUGUUUGUUAAACAGACUAGUGGAGGCAGAAUCCUUAUCGUGAGUGUUUAUGUAGAUGAUUUGAUUUACACUGGAGAUGAUGAGCAGAUGAUGCUGGAAUUCAAACAGUCUAUGAUGAAGGUAUUUGACAUGACUGAUCUAGGAAGAAUGAGGUUCUUCUUAGGUAUAGAAGUACUGCAACAGACCAAUGGAAUCUAUAUCUGUCAACGAAAGUAUAUACUAGAGGUUCUGAAACGGUUUGGAAUGGAAGAAUGUAAUGCAGUAAUGAAUCCCAUAGUCCCUGGCUUCAAAACUGACAAAAUUGGAGAAGGAAACAAAAUCGAUGAGACUUACUAUAAACAAAUAGUUGGAAGUCUUAUGUAUAUCACUGCUACAAGGCCAGAUAUCAUGUUUGGGGUGAGUUUUAUAAGCAGGUUUAUGGCUAGUCCAACAGAAGUGCAUCUACAAGCUGCAAAAAGAUUAUUAAGAUACUUGAAGGGGACCAUCAAUUAUGGUAUAUUCUACAAGAAGAAUGAGAACAAGCAGCUGAUUGCAUACACUGAUAGUGACUAUGCAGGAGACAUUACAGACAGAAAGAGCACAUCCGGCUAUGUCUUCAUGCUGAGUGGAGGAGCAGUUUCAUGGGCAUCAAAUAAGCAGCCUAUAGUCACUCAGUCAACAACUGAAGCAGAAUUCGUGGCAGCAGCAGCUUGUGCUUGCCAGGCAGUAUGGAUGAGAAGGAUUCUGGAGAAGUUAAAUCAUGAACAAAAAGAUUGCACCAUCUUAAUGUGUGAUAACAGUUCAACCAUCAAGCUCUCAAGAAAUCCCAUUAUGCAUGGACGCAGCAAGCACAUUGAUGUGAGAUUCCAUUUCUUACGUGAUUUAACUCGAGACAAGAUCAUUGAACUUGUGCAUUGUGGCUCACAAGAUCAAGUAGCCGACCUACUGACAAAACCAGUCUGUGUGAUGCUUGAUGUAAACUAAUUGUUACACAGAAUUAGUUUAAAGGAGAGAAUGUUGAGAAGUUUCAAUAACUGUCAGUUUUUCUGUUAGCUAAACCUGUUAGAGCAGUUAGUUAGUUAAUCCAGCUGGCAGUUAGUUAAGUCAGGUAAAGGUUGUUAGUAUUCAAUUGUUAGCAAAUAAACUGAUUCCUUGAAUCACGGGGCAGCAGUUAUUAGUUACCCUACAGUGUUGUAAAGGUUAUAUAAAGCCAAAUGAUUGUUCAUUCUAAGCAUGAUAUACAAUUCAGUAUUCAUCAAGUAUUCUUGCAUAUCUGUUUCUAUCAUUUUUGUCAAGUCGAUCACUCUGCCCAUCCCAAAUAUUGUUUUGGGCUUUGUUCUUUACCAUCAGUCCAUAGACAUUCCUUCAAGACUAUCCACGCGGCCCAGUUGUGGUAGGCCCAACUGAUCAGAACCACCUGCUUUAAAUCUGUGAGGGGAAUGGCUGAUUUUGGAGUGUUGUUUGAAGCUACUGGCUAUAGAAAAUUGACUACUCAGAUAGUGAUUGGGCUGUUUCAGUCGAUGAUAUGAAGAGCACAACAGGUUGUGUUCGAUAUCGGUUCAGGUGCACUUUCUUCGGUGACCAAGAAGCAAGAACCGUGGCACAAUCCACUGGAGAAGCAGAGUGUAUAAAUUCAGCAGCAACUUUGAAUCUAGCCAUAUGGUUAAGGAAACUUCUCCAAGAUAUGGGGCAGCAACAGCAUGUAGCAACUAGAAUUCAAGUUGAUAACAAGUCGGCCAUUGCAAUUGCAAUAGCAAAAUAUUCAGUUAGUCAAGGAAAAACCAAGCAUAUCAAAAUGAAGUUCCAGAGCUCAUGAAGUAGAGAAAGCUAAUGCGGUGACCUUUAGCUGUUGUUACGCAGAAAAGCAACUUGCAGAUAUAUUGCAGCGAGAGCUUCCACAAAUAUACAUCCUUACCUUCACUGCAAGCAUCUGCAUGUAAUAACAAACUUUUAUGAAAAGUUGUAAUUAGGAAGAAUAGAAGAAGCCUAUCCAGAAAAUACAAGUCGCGAAAGACACUAACAUGAAGCAAGUUGAAACUAGAAUUAUUAUCCAACACUUGCACAAGGAACCAUCUGCAUAUACUAAUAAGACGAGCUUACCAGUUAUAUUUGUUUCCUGAGUCCUGACAGGUAAUAUAGCAAGGAAAUUCUUUUUGCACCAGAAGUUUGCAAGCCCAAAGUAGGAGAUAAUAUAGCAGUCUAGUAAAGGUUCUGUUUCAGAAGCCUUGUUUUUUGACAGUUAGCAUUUUCUUCUCUUUUGAAUAAUUGAAUUGUCAAUUGUCUUCUAACCUUAUAGCUUAAAGAAAACUACAUUUCGGUUCGAAACAUACUUGUGUGAAUUCCAAAAUCACAAUGAAACAUACUUGUAUAAAUUAAUGUGUAGCUCUAACUUAUCACUAGCUUCAAAACGUCAAUACUGCAAGAUGAAGGAAAAACACAGAUGGGUUGCAUUAAUCCUGCUGUGCAGCACACUAAGGCGCUGCGAAUGAGCAAGUGACCUCACACACCAGCCCCCAAUGCUCUUUUAUGUCCAGGAAUGGAAUGUUUGCUUAAAUCAAACCCGAUAAGUCCUUGAAAUGCUACCUACCUACCUUAAAUGGAAUCAUCUCUUGCAACCCAAGAUCUGGUCAAGUAACCCCACGUGAAGCAGUGCUGACAGUAAAGGAACUAAGCUUUAGCCCCUUUAGCUUUACAGAACCAAACUCUUACUUUCUUCAUUCCCUACAAAUUUCAACAGAUAAGCUCUCAAAAGACGUACCCAGAAAUCAUCUACAAAGUCAUCCUAUUGAUGAAGAAAGCAAAGGAAACAAUGACCUCAGAGACUGGAGCCUCAUGGAGGCAAUGGUCUUAUUUAACCAAAAGCUAGGGAAUAAGCACAUGGCGCCAAGGUGAUAGGAAAUGAAAUGAAAAAAACAAGAUUGACUACUUAUAUGUAUGUAUGUGUGUGUGUGUGUGUGUGUAUUCCAAUUUGACCAAGAAAUUAAUCAACAGCUCAGAAUUCAACCUUGAUCACAAACUCAAAUCAUACAAACUGGAUUCAAGGUAAAAUCAGAAUUAUUCAACACACAAUCAGCCGGCGCAGCAAAUUAAAUAAAGCACCAAACCGGACACAACCCCCUACAUAUCAUAUCAAGAUUCGAAAUCCUUCUACAUUACAGAGAAAACAUUGCAGAAGCAAGUAACCCAACUGAUCCCACCAAAAGAUUAUGAGUAAAGAUAAGUGCACUAGAUAUAUCCACAGAAGCUGCAGGACUCUCUACAGUUACUGCAGGAACUGCCUUCGUUGGCUUCUCUGGUGCAGCUGCCACUGGUGCUGGAGCUGGAGCAUUAGAAGCAAAAAUGUCCUUAGGGAGGAGUACCUUUUCAAUCUUAUAAAUGGCUAGCUGGUUGUCUGUGUAUACGGUGCCAGAUAAACUUGUAUUGGUAAGUCCUGUGGUUAUGUUCACCGAGUUUGGAUAACUUGUCACGUUAAGUGGUAACCUACUACCUGUUCCGGCCCAUGUUCCGAGAGGAUUGCUUACGGUCUGGAACUGGGAAGUAGAUAGGAAUGUUGGAACUACGUGAAACUUCACUAACUCGGACUUGUCUCCAUCACUUAGCGUGUUGAGAGUUCCUGAUUUGAGUUCCGAAAAUGCGCUAUCCGUUGGUGCAAAGAUGGUUAAACCAGUGCUUGAGUCAUUUAGCGCGGAGAAUAAGUGGUUUUCCUCUUGGGUGGAUCUCAAAAGGCGGAUAAAGAUCGUGAAGUGUCCAGCCUUCUCAAGGAUUAUGGUGACGUUGGUGAUGCCAUGCGGUGCAGCUGCCUGUGUUGGGGUUGCAGCUGGAGGUGAUGCAACCACUGCUGGCGCCUGAGCCGGGGCUGCAGCUGGUGACUGGGCAAAGGUAUUGGUACAAUGGAGGAAAAGAAGUAAAAUUGAAAAUGAAGAGAGUAAGUACUGUGGCUUCAUCUUUAUGUUGUUAAGAUAAAAUGCUAGGAACAAUGCAAAAAUGCUAAUGUAAACUGAGCUUGAUUUUUGUUAGAAGUGCUCGAUGUGUAUAGAGGGGACAGUUUGAGGUUAUAUAGUUGUGGGCAGAGAGGAUCAAGUUAGGUGCAAUAUACAAUUUUAGUUACACAACUAGGUUGCAAGUACCUUAUCUUACUCCAAAAGGUGGUGGGCCAUCAAUGGAGAUGGAAAAUUGGCAAUGCUGCAGCAGCUACUUUGCAUGGAAAGUAGGAAGAAAAAGAAACAAGAAUCUAAGAAGUAGAUUUCAAGUGGGUGUGACAGCAAAUGAAGAUGUGCAUUUCCCACUCAUCAAUGGCAGAACAUUUGAGCAUACUUCCACACAUUAUAACAAAAUCAUCUUUAAUGAUAGAAGAUUUGGACAAGGAAUCUCAGCUGACCCCAUCUUUGUAUCCAAAACAGCUAAAGACUUUGCUCCUUGAGCUAAAAAGAAAGAAGCUUUGGAUGUGUUGAGUAACAUUAUAAAACUUUUUUUUUCAGUUUUAUUUUCCUUUUCUAGUUUUAGUUUUUCAAUAAAAAAUCAGAAAACGUGUUUUAUUUGUCAUAAAAUCAUGAAGAUAAAUUUUUCCAUCUAAAAAAUACUUUAAGAUUAUAACUAUUUUUUUAUAAAAUAUAAACCAUAAUUUAUAAUAAGCAUCUUAACAUUUUGUAUUCGUGAUAAUUUAAUGAUGAAAUUAUAAUUUUAUUUCUUUAAAAAAAACUAUCAUGUAAAACUAUAUUGCUAACCUUUAAAAAAUAUUUAUAUUAAAUUUAUAAUAAAAGGUAAAUUUAUGAUACAUUGAUACUAACUAAAUAUAAAAAAAAAAUUAAGUUUUUACAUUGCUUAAAAUGGCUUGGAUAUAAAAUAAAAAAAUAUUAUUCAUAUUUGUUUCAUUUGAAAAAUAAUGAAAAACUUAUAUUAGAAAAUUACAGAGAAUUUUUAAAAUAUGUUUUUCAAUCUCAAUACAAAUUUAAAAAACUAAAAAAUUUAGUUUUCCAUAGGAAGUUACAGUUUUCAUUUUUCUUACUCCAAUUUUUUUAUUAAAAAAAUAUUAUUUUGUUUCUAAACAAUUUUUUACAUCCUUUUAAUCCUCAAGAGAAAUUGAUAGGCUAACUUUCCAAAUUUAGAAACAUAAAUUAGAUCUCACACCAGGCCAUCACUUAACAUAAUCAAGAAACACUUUCUAACGUACGUGAGCCAAGUACAGGCCAUGUUGCUGCUUACAAUGAUUUUUUCCUUAUGCAAACACCAGCCUAGAAAUUUUAUAUGACCAUUUUGAAGUAAAACGAAAGAAGAUGCCUGCUCUCUCUCACACUUUUUUCCGCUAAUUAUCAACACGAACAGUUUUGAAACUAGAGAAGAAACCUGAGUCUGAUUUGGGCUUGAACUCGAGAAAGAUUCGUAUAGCAAAGAAAUUACUUAGCAAGAUUGAGGAGGAAAAGAGAAUCAAAUUAAUCCCACAAAAUAGUAUAGCAAGACGCUUGGCAUGAGCAGGUGACCUAAGAACUGGUCUGCAAUGCUUAAUAUAGUUUUCUUGUCCAAGACUGAAAUAUUUGCUCCAAUGAAACCUGACAAGUCCUUGAAGUUGGAAAUAAUACCUCCUCACCUUAAAUUGAAUAAUUAAUCUCUAGUGAGUCAAGAUUUGGAGAAGUAAUAUCAGCAGGCAAUGCAUUCUUGUGAGUGAAGGAAAUUAGAUUUAGCACUCGUUAAGCUUUAACGAACAAUAUUUUAUGGUUUUCAUUCCCUACAACCUUCAAGAGAUAUGAUCUCCAAAUUCACAUCCAGAAAUCAAGUCACCCUCAAAGUCAUCUGGUAGAAGGCAAUGUUCAACGAACACUGACCUCGGACUUAAGCCCCAAGAAGGCAUUGCUCAUGCUAUAUUUUAUACCAAAAAUAACAGUUAAGCCUCAAAAAUUUAACACGUCCAAUUCUGAGCAUAAAGAAAGACAGGUCGCCCAGGAACCGGAGAGAAAUCGAAGUGAAUUUCUUGUACAUUAAUGUACUUAAUGGCAUUAGCAAUCCACUCGAGAUGUUCGAAGAUGGAGAUAAAAUUUGCUAGGAGAAGAGGAAGGUGAGCGAUGGAGGAGGGUUCGGAAGGUGCAGCAAGAGAAGCAGGAGUGGUCAUCUUAGCAUUAAUAGAGACUUAUAGACAGGAAUUCGGGUUCACCAGUAGCUAGUUAGAAAAGAUCAAGCAUGGUCAUGUCUCUAAAUAAAAUGUAAAGAUACCAAAAUCACACCUAAUAAUUUCGAAAGUGGAAGGCUUAAGAGCAUCAAGGUUGAUCUUCUAAGAAAUCAAUUUUAAGUGAAUUAUAAUGUAGAAACUGCAAGUUCUCAAACAAGUGUAGCAUGAAAUACUAGGGGGAUUUUUUAGAUAUGGAAAAUUUUUCCAGCAAGUAUGAAUGUAUGCUUAAUAGAGAAAUCAAAGAUAAUCAUUGUUCAAGGGUAGGAAUUGAUGCUUCCUCCAAUGCUCAUAAUCAAAGAAUUCUUGAUCCGCCAAUCAAACCACCAUUAUCUAGCCAAAAGCUAGGAAAUGAUAGAUGACACCAGGAUGAUAGUGAAAAAAAAAUGAAAUUUGAUGAAUAAUCAAGUUAAUUAGAUAGAAUCUCAAAACUCAACUCAAUCAUGAACUCAAAUCAUACAAACUGGAUUCAAGGUAAAAGCAGAAUUAUUCAACACACAAUCGGCCGGCGCAGUUAAAUAAAGCACCAAACCGGACACAACCCUACGUACAUAUAUCAUAUCAAGAUUGAAAUCCUUCUACAUUACAGAGAAAACAUUGCAGAAGCAAGUAAACCAAAUGAUCCCACCAGAAUAUUAUUAGUAAAGAUAAGUGCACUAGAUAUAUCCACAGAAGCUGCAGGACUCUCUACAGUUACUGCAGGAACUGCCUUUGAUGGCUUUUCUGGUGCAGGUGCCACUGGUGCUGGAGCUGGAGCAUUAGAAGUAAAAAUGUCCUUAGGGAGGAGUACCUUUUCAAUCUUAUAAAUGGCUAGCUGGUUGUCUGUGUAUACGGUUCCAGAUAAACUUGUAUUGGUAAGUCCUGUGGUUAUGUUCACCGAGUUUGGAUAACUUGUGACAUUAAGCGGUAACCUACUACCUGUUCCGGCCCAUGUUCCGAGAGGAUUGCUUACGGUCUGGAACUGGGAAGUAGAUAGGAAUGUUGGAACUACGUGAAACUUCACUAACUCAGACUUGUCUCCAUCCCUUAGAGUGUUGAGAGUUCCUGAUUUGAGUUCCGAAAAUGCGCUAUCCGUUGGUGCAAAGAUGGUUAAACCAGUGCUUGAAUCAUUUAGUGCGGAGAACAAGUGGCUUUCCUCUUGAGUGGAUCUCAAAAGACGGAUAAAGAUCGUGAAGUGGCCAGCCUUCUCGAGGAUUUUCGUGACGUUGGUGAUGCCAUGCGGUGCAGCUGCCUGAGUUGGGGUUGCAGCUGGAGGUGGUGCUACGACUACUGCCGGUGCCUGCGCUGGGGCUGCAGCUGGUAUCUGGGCAAAGGUACUGGCACAAUGGAGGAAUAAAAGGAAUAUUGAAAAUGAGGAGAUUAACUGCUGCUUCAUCUUUAUGUUUUUGGGAUUAAUUAUAAU